CAGCAGUCGCCACGGUAAUACGUAGGUGGCAAGCGUUGUCCGGAAUUAUUGGGCGUAAAGGGCGCGUAGGCGGACUGAUAAGUCAGGGGUGAAAUCCCAAGGCUCAACCUUGGAACUGCCUUUGAUACUGUUUGUCUUGAGUUCGAGAGAGGUAAGUGGAACUGCGAGUGUAGAGGUGAAAUUCGUAGAUAUUCGCAAGAACACCAGUGGCGAAGGCGGCUUACUGGCUCGAAACUGACGCUGAGGCGCGAAAGCGUGGGGAGCAAACAGGAUUAGAUACCCGAGUAGUCCCUGUCUCUUAUAC
rnacentral:rRNA from 1 species